rnacentral:rRNA from 1 species
CAGCCGCCACGGUAAUACGAAGGGGGCUAGCGUUGUCCAGAAUUAUUGGGCGUAAAGGGCUCGCAGGCGGUUUCUUAAGUCUGAUGUGAAAGCCCCCGGCUCAACCGGGGAGGGUCAUUGGAAACUGGGAAACUUGAGUGCAGAAGAGGAGAGUGGAAUUCCACGUGUAGCGGUGAAAUGCGUAGAGAUGUGGAGGAACACCAACGGCGAAAGCACUCUGCUGGGCCGACACUGACACUGAGAGACGAAAGCUAGGGGAGCAAAUGGGAUUAGAUACCCCUGUAGUCCCUGUCUCUUAUAC